GACGAACGCUGGCGGCGUGCUUAACACAUGCAAGUCGAACGGAAAGGCCCUGCUUUUGUGGGGUGCUCGAGUGGCGAACGGGUGAGUAACACGUGAGUAACCUGCCCUUGACUGUGGGGUAACUUCAGGAAACUGGGGCUAAUACCGGGGAGGAGCUCCUGCUGCAUGGGGGGGGUUGGAAAGUUUCGGCGGUUGGGGCUGGUAUGGCGGCUUAUGAGCUAGUUGGGGGGGUAGUGGAGUACCAAGGCUUUGACGGGUAGCCGGCCUGGGAGGGUGGCCGGCCACCAGGGGACUGAGGUACGCCGCAGACGGCAAUGUUCGGCAGUAGGCGGAAACCUUGCGCAGUGGCGCGACGCGUGUGAUGGAGGCCUCCCGUUCGGGAUGCCCGGUUACGAGGGGAAAACCAAUGUCGCCUGUGCCGUGGCGUUAGUGACGGUAACUAGUAAAAAAGCACCGGCUAACUACGUG
rnacentral:rRNA from 1 species